GCAACAAGUGAGCUCUCUUUCCAGCUGUUUCUCAAGAACAGGCAACCGGGCGGCUCGUUCACGCAGUGUGCGUUCACGGGGCAACUACUCUGUUCCAGACACUCUGCUGGGCAUCGUGUAUUUCUUCUGAUUCUGGAACCAUAUUUUUACAGUGUGCUGUGUCAUAAACCAUCUGAACAAAAGCAAAGACGAUGUGCUGUGUAAUUAAGCCAAAGGGUGGCUCUAGUGCUGACGAAGACACCGAGCAGUUUGUACCAGAAGAAGAGGAAGGCAAGGAGCACAAGGGAGAAGAGGAGGAUCUUUGUAACUUGAGAAGAAUGGAAAAUCCUUCCAUGGCAGACUGGGGUUUGCUGGUUAAGCCAUCACUUUGGAGGAAAAUAGACAUUUUAGUUUAAGUUUUACAAUGAAGAAACCUGGACUCUAAAUGUAUGCAGCAGAUUCAAUGUCGGCCCUCCCCCUCCUCUUCUGACAGAUCCUACAGUACUGUUGGAGUGUGACGACAGUGUCCAGUCAUACACCAGAAUGUGGAAAGCCCCAAGCUAAAUUCUAUAAAACACUUAACAUCUAAAAGUAAUUUGAGUAUUUUCUAAUAUUCUCACAAUAUGUCUGAAAUCAUUGACUAGAUUGCUAAAUAGUAUACUUUUUCAUAUCCUAUUUAUACCCAAACUAUUAAACAAUAUUAUUAAAAGCUACUGAUGAAGUAUAAAUGUAGCAUCAGUAUGUAGAAAAGACACAACUCAUUUGCUUUUCUUCAUAAAGAAUCUAGCUGGAAUGAAAAUUAACAUGUAAAAAAAGCAAGAUGUCACUACAGAAUUAUACAUACUCUUCAAAUUAUAUAUAGAUCCAGGGUGCCUGGGUGGCCCAGUGCGUUAAAGCCCCUGCCUUCAGUUCAGAUCAUGAUCCCAGGGUCCUAGGAUUGAGGCCUGCAUCGGGCUCUCUGCUCAGCAGGGAGACUGCUUCCUUCCCCCGCAAACCCGCUACCUGCCUCUCUGCCUACUUGUGAUCUCUGUCAAAUAAAUAAA